CACUGAAGUGGACCACUUUCCUCUUGACACUUGUGUCGUUUGGCAAAGAGCACCAGCAGUACUCGAGUACAUCUUCAGUCACUGGUUCCAAAGGCAAGUGAGAAUGCCCUGAAGUUGCGAGCAGAAAGAGAACAGCUCACCAUCAUGGGGAAGACUAUGACCAGGUGACCAGUGCGCCUUCUCAGUCUGUGGUCCAGGUGUUUUGGAGAGCAGCCCUGAUAUUGGUGGCAGAGGCCCUUCUCGGGAACCCUCCAUAAAGGAUAUUAGGAGGAGGCAGAACUGGUGGGACUGUGAGGCCUUCUCAGUGGCUGCUCCACGCUGUGGAACUCCACAAGAAGGGAAGCAAGGUUGUAUCCUGUCCCUGUAUCUUCAAUGCUUGAAAGGAGGACCUUUACUGUUCCACUGAGGGCCUUUUCCUUGAGACUGUAGGAUGACUGUUCUUGCAGCUAUUCUUCUCAAAGGUAGUAUAAAAUUCAAUAACAAAAAGAACCUAACCAAAAUAUGGGUGAAGUGGCUGCAACAGUUCCAAAUGAGUAGACACAGUGAGUACCUUGAAUUUGUAACAUUGUUCAGUCCCUAGCCUUUCUCUAUCCCAGGCAGCAACCAGUUCUCUAAUGUAACCAUUUAUGCUGCCUCCAUCUGGGAAGAGAAUGAGAAAUUUUAUCUGGCAAAAGAGGACUCAAUCAAAGUGGCAAUCACUUCCAACUGUGCACUUAUAUGCAAAGCAGUUUUUUCUUUGAGACAGACUAGUGAAUCAAACACUUGGAAAUCAAGGCUGUUCUUUUUGUCUAUAUAGUCAUUUCCACAAUUUUAGAGGGUGAAUAUUCACUAGUUUCAGAUAACUUUUGGUUGCUAAAUCUUGGUGAGGACUUCAGUGCUGCUGUUAACUUUGUUUCUUUUAUUGUUUAAAAUCUUUGUUGUGAGUUGCCCUGAAUGUGGGAGAGCUGAAUAAACUAAUUAACAUCUACCGUGCCUUAGCAAUUAAGGAGUGAAACAAGAAUUCAUUUGAACCCCUUUCCUCACAAAGAGAAUCAGAAGAUGAUUGGGGUUUAGUUCCAAGGUUAGGACAGUGCUUGAAAAUAGUGUGCCAGAUAGCUUUGGCACAGUAAUUAGGGUCGAAUAGUGAGACUAGGUUGCCAGGAUUUAAAAAAAAUAAUUUAGAUAUUUUAAAAGAAAUCUUCAGAUUAGUAAAGAGCUGUUUCUGUCUCCAGCAAGAAAAGUGACAGAAACGUCCUGGUUUUAGUACUGAAUGAGGCUAGAGAAAGGUUGGGGGCCAAACUCUAUAUUAGUAACUUCCUUCCUCUUGUGGACGGGGCUCACUGCUGUAUAUGGGAGUUUGUUGAAAGAUCUAUCAGGUGAUCUCACAGUGGUGAAGGACAAAGGAAGGAAAGGACUGCAAAGACUCAUUUUAUAGGCAGACAGAGGGAGAAAGGAAGUGCUAAUAGCUUUGACUGUUAACAUUCAUGCUGAGGAACAAGGAUUGCCUGGGAACUCUGUAGAAUCUGAAAACUCCAGGAAGAAUUAAAUUCUGUAGGAGCUUCUAAGUCCUUAGAUUCAGGUUCAUAGUGUUAAAUUCCCUUGCACUGCAUGACUGUGAACUUGUGUGAAGAAAGACUAGCAUCAGCAGUUAACUCUGAUUGUGGCUACAGUUUCUAAGUGAAGCAGAUGAUCAUGGAGAAGGAUAAAGACUUUCUCCAGGAACAUCCUGACUCGUGCUAAAGUUUCUCCAAGCAGCCCUGAACUCAUCCACACAAGAAGCUGCUGGAAUGCAUGCUCACAGAGAUGUCUUGAGAUGCAAGGGAGAUGACUUCUGGGAGUAGCAAUCCCAUCUGCAUAGCAUGAGUGCACAGUGUCCUUCCUCCUCAAGGGAUGCUAGUCAUGAUGCUUAGGUAUGAUGAAUUUGGUAAGGUAUGAUACCACUUCUGUGGGAGAGGCCAUUGUCACAUGUCUUGUUUGUUGGCUUUCCGGAGGCACCUUGUUGGCCUCUGUGGGAAAAAGGAGCAGCAGCUAGGCUGCUUAAUGGGUGUGAUCAGCUGGAGCAGAGAUGCAGAGUUUUAAGCCUAGGGGACCAAAUCCAGAGGUCCCAACACCACUUUUCUGUGCCCACCCUCUUGCCUCCAAGCACCAAUCACUGGGUGGUUUCCCAGCUUUUUGCCAUUUCCCUCCAUUCUACAAGGCCCAAAUGCCUGUCCAAAAGUUGUAGUUACUGGUAGUAAAAGCUAAAUUUAAGCAAAAAUAGGUGGGGAAGGAUUGUUGGGGAAUUGGUGUUUUGCUUCUGGCCCCACCCUCCAGUGGCAUUUGGUCCCGAAAGAGAAUAUUAGAGAACUGCCAGAUUAAACAAUAGCACAGAAGAUUUAAUCAUGAAUUUCUAAUUUUAAUCUGAUGAAGUCUAUCUAGCCUGCUAUUACUAGGUCCCUGUAUUUGUGUGGUAACACUUUGAAGUCAGUGCAUCAGCACAAAGUGCUUUAUCAAAGUGGACCCUCUAACAGAGGAUCUUUUCAAUCUUGCUCCCAGCACCAGCGAUAAUGCCAAAUGAGAAAAUGGGGCAGUAACAUUUAAGGAGGCUGUUAGGAAGCUGGCAUUACCAUUGAGGGUGGGAGUGAUACCUGGAAAUAUAUUUAGGAAAAAUCAGCACUGGAAGGAGCAGUGAUGUUUAGCAUGUUGAAGUUCAGGGCCCACUUCAGUGGUCAGCACUGAGCUUUAAUCUAAUGACCUUAAGCACAUACUUAUCAUUGGCAGGUCCAAUUUCCACAUAGGCUUGAAAAAGCUCCUUCCUGAAAAGUCUGAAGAGUGGCUGACUGUGAGAAUUGACAAUAUUGGGCUAGGUGGACCAACUCAUCACUAGAUGGUCUGAUUAAGUCUAAGGCAGCCUCCUAUGUUCCUAGGUGUUAAUUAACUACCACUCCCAUGCUGAUUGAGCCAUCCUAGGCUAGGAGAAAAAAGCAAGAGGACUGGCAGACUCCCAUGUAGAAUGCAAAUACUCAGCAGAUCAGCAUCCUGGGUAAAUAUGUUCCACACUGGAUGAGUGACUCUUUUGUAAAGCUGCCUUAUCAUCAUCUGCUCAUCCCCAGAUGAUCAAGAUGAGGAGACAAGGGCUGCAACAGGAAUACGGAAGACUGUGAGAGUCUGGAGAUGUGAGACUUUAUGUCUGGCAUUGCUUGAGAAGAAGGAAGUCUGGCUUCCUCUCUUAAUCACAAGAAAAUGUAUGUGUACAACUAAAGAAAACAUUUGUCAUUCACAAGAACAUAUUUCAGUUCUUUCAGCCUACAGACAGUAAAUGUUUUACAACAUUAAUUACAGAAUAAUAAUUUUAGGAACGUCUGAGGGGAAAGAAAGAGAAAAACACCAUUUCCCUGAAUCUGGUUUGUUUAAUUUACUCACAAAUACGUAUUUUAACUCUUUUGAAAAUGCAGACUACAAAGUCAGUUGCAAGAUUCAUUAAUGUGAAUUUAUCAAGGACAUGCACUUCAGUUCCUUUCCUGGGAUAUAUCCUGGAAACAGCUGCCACGGUUUGUGCUACAACCCAAGUUGAAGUCACUGUUUAAUCCCUCAUUUCCAGGCUUGGUUGUGGGAAAAUGUAUUUCUGACUGAAGAGGAAGUCAUUUGCCUGAAACUUUCUGCUGAAUGUCUGAAUGGAUGUUAUGCAAAAAAAAUCUAACUUCCUUAAGAUAAAAUCUAAUGAAGGACUAUGGAAUCUCUUUGGGUGAGGGAGGGCGCCAAACUGUAUUUUAAAUGGCAAGGUUCAAAUCUCUCUCCAAUUGCUUCUGUUAAUUAUGAAUCGAUGCUGAUCUCUUAAGCACACAUUAUACUGCUGCAGUCCCCAAAGAAGACAUUUUGCUGCUUGAGUGUGGAACCAUUGCAAAAAACAAAUUACCAGUUAUAUAAGGUCAGUAGUUUUUUUAAGCCCUGAAUGACUUAGGACCAGGACACUUGAUACAGCUUCUAUCUUGCCAACCUGUCUGGUCACUGUCUUUAUGGGAUGGCAUGUUCCUGGUGGUUCCAUAUAGCCCUUCUGUGGGACUGAAGGCCAGCCAUGGCAGAGUCUUCAGUGUAAGGAACUCCAUUUCUACGGAACUCUGCUACUGGAGGUCAGGAAGGUACUAACAUUAUAUGGUUUUUGGUGGCUCCAGAAAACACUUCUAUUUUGGGAAGCCUUCCUGAACUAACCAAACACAGCUUUAUUGAUUUUUUUCAACACUCUGCUUUCUCUUUGAUCUGUUUUAUUGUUCAUUGCUACAAAAUCUGAAUGGCAGAAUAUAGAGUGGUAUAUACAUCUUGUAAAUAAAUAAACUACAAAGCUAAAUG